AUUGAACGCUGGCGGCAGGCCUAACACAUGCAAGUCGAGCGAGCGGCGGACGGGUGAGUAAUGUGUGGGGAGCGCCUGACAGAGGGGGAUAACUACUGGACACGGUGGCUAAUACCGCAUCCUAUCGGAUAACCCAUAUGGGAUUAGCUAGUAGGAGGGGUAAAGGCUCACCUAGGCGACGACCUCUAGCUGGUCUGAGAGGAUGAUCAGCCCCACUGGGACUGGGACACGGCCCAGUCUCCUACGGAGGCAGCAGUGGGGAAUAUUGCACAAUGGGCGCAAGCCUGAUGCAGCCAUGCCGCGUGUAUGAAGAAGGCCUUAGGGUUGUAAAGUACUUUCAGCGGGGAGGCGUUACCCUCAGAAGAAGCACCGGCUAACUCCGUGCCAGCAGCCGCGGUAAUAC
rnacentral:rRNA from 1 species